rnacentral:lncRNA from 1 species
CAGUCUUCAGCUCAAAAUUAUUGACAUUGACUCGUGGAGGUUCCUGGUAAAUAUACUGAGGAACGAACAUCUCUGCAAUCGAAGGCUGAUUCUGAGCUUCUUUAGCAGCUUGAGCGUCCAACAGCUGUUGCAGCUGCUCCUGUAGAGCACGAAUUUGUCAUCAGUAGCCAUCGUAUGCAGUGCCUGAAAAAAUUGAGAAUUAAGAAAAAAAAUAAAAAUAAAAGCCUGAAGUACUACUAAGUCCUAUCGGAGAUAUUAAAGAAACUUCUAAUCAGUCCCCGGCAACGGCGCCAAAAAGUUGAUCACUAAAUUAUUAGCAACAAAUUACCGCAACUAACACGGUGCAAUUGUAGCACAAAC